GAUGAGCGCUGGCGGCGUGCCUAAUACAUGCAAGUCGAGCGAAUGGAUUGAGAGCUUGCUCUUAUGAAGUUAGCGGCGGACGGGUGAGUAACACGUGGUUAACCUGCCCAUAAGACUGGGAUAACUCCGGGAAACCGGGGCUAAUACCGGAUAACAUUUUGAACCGCAUGGUUCGAAAUUGAAAGGCGGCUUCGGCUGUCACUUAUGGAUGGACCCGCUUCGCAUUAGCUAGUUGGUGAGGUAACGGCUCACCAAGGCAACGAUGCGUAGCCGACCUGAGAGGGUGAUCGGCCACACUGGGACUGAGACACGGCCCAGACUCCUACGGGAGGCAGCAGUAGGGAAUCUUCCGCAAUGGACGAAAGUCUGACGGAGCAACGCCGCGUGAGUGAUGAAGGCUUUCGGGUCGUAAAACUCUGUUGUUAGGGAAGGACAAGUGCUAGUUGAAUAAGCUGGCACCUUAACGGUACCUAACCAGAAAGCCACGGCUAACUACGUGCCAGCCGCCGCAGUAA
rnacentral:rRNA from 1 species